ensembl:lncRNA
GUAAAAAGCAGAUAAGAGAAACUGACUGAGCAGAAGGAAAUCGAUUGCUUUAAACAAUUACGGGAGCUGCAGCAGGGCGAACGAACAUCACCGGCUCGACAGGCAACUCUACCUGCCUCUGUCAGUCGAUGUCUCGCCCUCGCCCAUCCAUCUUUCAGCACACUAGAGCCACCCAAAGACACGUCCAUUCAGCUGUAGGCUGGCUUUUGAAGAGAAGGUCUGCCAGGAUCAACAGCAGCCACUUUAGCUGGGCAUGAUUUUGCAUCUUUAUCACAGUGUUCUGAGACCCUUCCAUUUCCCAGGAUUCUGUUGAAGUAAUUCCCUGUCAGCAUCUUCCAUUAUGUGUCAGUUGGGGACGCUUGACUGACUGCACAGACACUAUUGGAAGAGAGCUGAACUGGAUGAUGACAUCACUCAAUCAUCAAUGAACUGACUUUAGCUGAAAAAAUGACUCUGUUAUUGUCUUAUUGCAUCAUUGACAAACUAGUUUCCUGUUUGACCUUGUAAAGCUGCUUUGACAAUCAGUAUUGUAUGGUGUAUUGAGUGUUUACUGUUGUCAUUUUGCAUUGUUGACACACUAUUUUCCUAUUAAAUACUGUAAAGUGCUUUGACACAAUUUGUAUUGUUAAAAGCACUAUAGAUAUAAAGGUGACUUGACAAAGCGCUAUACAAAUAAAGGUAAAAGGAACUAUAUUUGCAAUUAGAUAGUGGCUAAUUGGAGAGUUAAAUGAAGCAAGGAGAAUCACUGGUUAUUUUCCCUUUGUAACACUUUAAUUAAAAGCCCUCAUCAGAAUCAUUAUUACGUCAUGAAACACUCCAUCUUCAGUGUAAUCAGUACAUCUGUGUGUCUGACCUGAGUAAAACAUGCUGUUACAAACACAAACACGCAUAUGUACACAAUUCUUGUGGAUGAAUAGUGACCAGAACUUUUGAUAUUGCAUGACUAGCAAAUAAAUACGCAAUAGAAUCACAAUAGUUGUUUUCUUUUGAUCCAAAUGUUAUGAUGUCUAUAAAUCUCUUAAUGUGUUUAAUAAAUGAUGAAACUUUGCAUUUAUGAUGCAGACUCUUUGAUCUUCUCAAUUUAACAGUGUCUGUUAUGCUUACACAAUUUCUGAUCAAACUGUGUUUGAAAUGGUUUGUGGUUGUACCCCCUGCUGGACAUAUAAACCCAAUCUCAUGAGAAAAUUUAACUAUUUUACAAGUUAUGUACGAGUUUAUUGCAUACUGUUUGGUUUUUAAAGCAGUGCACCAGUAUGACAAAAUCAUUUUUAAAAACAACUGUAGUAUGCAGAAUAAUUUUCACGAGACCAAUCACCUAUGUCUCAAAGCAUUCCCAAACCCUUCAUUAAUUACUAUCCUGAGCUGUGACAUCAGCAGACGGGACAAAUGUCAAGUCCAGAAAUAAAUCAGUCACAUGUGAAACUUCUACUUUAAGUUUCUGGACGCAGAUGUUUUUGAAUCUCUGCUUGCAAUCAG